rnacentral:rRNA from 1 species
GACAGAGGUGCCAAGCGUUAGGCGGAAUCACUGGGCUUAAAGCGUGUGUAGGCGGCAUGGUAAGUACCUUGUGAAAUCCCACGGCUCAACCGUGGAACUGCUUGGUAUACUGCUUUUCUUGAGCCACUUAGGGGCAACCGGAACAAACGGUGGAGCGGUGAAAUGCGUAGAUAUCGUUUGGAACGCCAAUGGUGAAAACAGGUUGCUGGGAGUGUGCUGACGCUGAGACACGAAAGCCAGGGGAGCAAACGGG